AGUGAACGCUGGCGGUAGGCCUAACACAUGCAAGUCGAACGGCAGCACAGUAAGAGCUUGCUCUUACGGGUGGCGAGUGGCGGACGGGUGAGGAAUACAUCGGAAUCUACUUUUUCGUGGGGGAUAACGUAGGGAAACUUACGCUAAUACCGCAUACGACCUACGGGUGAAAGCAGGGGAUCUUCGGACCUUGCGCGAUUGAAUGAGCCGAUGUCGGAUUAGCUAGUUGGCGGGGUAAAGGCCCACCAAGGCGACGAUCCGUAGCUGGUCUGAGAGGAUGAUCAGCCACACUGGAACUGAGACACGGUCCAGACUCCUACGGGAGGCAGCAGUAGGGAAUAUUGGACAAUGGGCGCAAGCCUGAUCCAGCCAUACCGCGUGAGUGAAGAAGGCCUUCGGGUUGUAAAGCCCUUUUAUUGGGAAAGAAGAACAGCAGGUUAAUCCCCCGCUGUUCUGACGGUACCCAAAGAAUAAGCACCGGCUAACUACGUG
rnacentral:rRNA from 1 species